CUCGUAAGCUAAUUCCUCUAUGUAUAAGCUCAUAUUAUCAUGCAUGUCAUGCUUUCCAUCUUGUAUUACACAAAUUUGGAAGCAAAGCUAGAAGCAACAUUGGUGCCUGAUCUCCAUUUUGUUUUUUAGAUGUAUAUGAGCGGCUUGUCCAGGAUGGUAAGAAAGCUGGUUUCUUUCAGUUGCUGGCUACGCAAACUGUCAGUGCUGUAUGGCAUGGAUUGUAUCCUGGGUACAUGAUUUUCUUUGUUCAGUCUGCUUUGUUUAUUGCUGGUUCAAGAGGUUCUAACACGAUUCCCAAGAAGAAGAAACCAGUCAUUGCUGUGAAGAUGGUUUUUGAAUUGAAGACUACAAGGCCUAUCGUGCUCAUGUUUUGUUCUAGAUGGGAAUCGUGCUCAUAUUUUUGUAUAGAACUUUACUACUCUCUAUUGUGGAUGGAAAAUCACUAGUAUUGUAACUGAAUGGCUUAUUUUGGAUGGUGCAUGGUUUAUGACUCAUUUGAGGCAACAUUUAUAUAUAUAUGUAUUUGGGUUGAUCUUCUAUUGGAAA